UACGUAGGGUGCAAGCGUUGUCCGGAUUUAUUGGGCGUAAAGAGCGUGUAGGCGGCCAGACAGGUCCGCUGUGAAAACUCGAGGCUCAACCUCGAGAUGUCGGUGGAAACCGUCUGGCUAGAGUCCGGAAGAGGAGAGUGGAAUUCCCGGUGUAGCGGUGAAAUGCGCAGAUAUCGGGAAGAACACCCGUGGCGAAGGCGGCUCUCUGGGACGGUACUGACGCUGAGACGCGAAAGCGUGGGGAGCGAACAGG
rnacentral:rRNA from 1 species